rnacentral:rRNA from 1 species
GACGAACGCUGGCGGCGUGCUUAACACAUGCAAGUCGAACGGAAAGGCCCAGCUUGCUGGGUACUCGAGUGGCGAACGGGUGAGUAACACGUGGGUGAUCUGCCCCUGACUUUGGGAUAAGCCUGGGAAACUGGGUCUAAUACCGGAUAUGACCUUACAUCGCAUGGUGUUUGGUGGAAAGCUUUUGCGGUUGGGGAUGGGCCCGCGGCCUAUCAGCUUGUUGGUGGGGUAAUGGCCUACCAAGGCGACGACGGGUAGCCGACCUGAGAGGGUGAUCGGCCACACUGGGACUGAGACACGGGCCAGACUCCUACGGGAGGCAGCAGUGGGGAAUAUUGCACAAUGGGCGCAAGCCUGAUGCAGCGACGCCGCGUGAGGGAUGACGGCCUUCGGGUUGUAAACCUCUUUCACCAGGGACGAAGCGUGAGUGACGGUACCUGGAGAAGAAGCACCGGCCAACUACGUG